rnacentral:lncRNA from 1 species
CAUGGAUGGUGGUGAUAGUUGUGCAACAAUGUGAUACACUUAAUGGCACUGAACUGUGUACUUUAAAAUGAUGGUGAAAUUAAGGCAUGAAAAACCUAAAUGACUGAGCUGAGAUCAUUCCAUGAGAAGAGAAGUUCAGAUUUUAUAUCCAGAGGCCACACUUUCCUACCUUCUGGAUCAAGAUCAUUUAAGAAACAAAGGUCACUCACUGUGAAUCAAUUAACUCCAAUGAACAUCCACCCACACAAGCACCUACUCUCUUGAAUCAUGCCUACUGACUCACAAUCCCCCAGGAGAGUCCAAUACAGGAAGCCCCAAACUGGGGGAAAUCCCUGCAUGCAGCUUCCCUUUAGGGAAAGGGAAAAGGUGCAAUUAAUUGUUAAUACCGUCAGCUUCACAGACAAGGAGUAGUGAGGGAACUGUAGAAGGUCUUCCAGGAUAAGGUAGAAGGAGAGCUCAGCAUAGCUCAGGUUCUAACUCACCAUGGAUGUCAGGCUCAAGAGACAAGGCACAUCAGUCAAGAAUGAUCAUGGAGACAGAAAACCCAAUGAUAAGCCUAAGUAAAAAAACAGAUUAUGACCAUCUCUUGACCAACUAUCUGUAGGAAGAGCUAUUCUAGCCUGCUGCAAGGCCAAGCUGGACCAAAAACAAAAGAGAAAGCAAUGAAAUCUAUCAGGAAUGAAUCUCACAGUUCCCUACCACCCUACCUACAAACGCAUCUGCACCUGCCCUGAAUUUCAUAUCCUCCCCGCCAGCCCCCACACCCCUCAGAAGAAGAAAUAAAC